UAAUCAUGUUUUUUCCUUUCUCUCAGGAAGGCUAAACGANGACAGGCCUCUUUAGUGUGCUCUCGGGAUGUCUUUUUCGAACCAUUUAAAGGAGGUUUUGAUAUGCUUCGUGAAAGAGACAUGUGGGUUCCGACCACUAACGAUGGUCCGCAGGGAACCCUAGGAAUCGCUCCGGAACUUUAAACGCAAAACCUGCUCCUCUAUAUGCCUCUCCACCCCCCUCGGAAGUAGAAUAUCGAACAAGGUUUCCGUAGGUGAACCUGCGGAAGGAUCAUUACUGAGAGUACCGGGCUCUGCCUGGCUACUUUUACCCAUGUUUUUAGAGUACCAAAAGUUUCCUCGGCGGCUCUGCCCGCCGGUCGGACUCCAUUCAAACCCUUUGCAGUUGCAGUCAGCGUCUGAUAAACAAAAUAAUUACAACUUUCAACAACGGAUCUCUUGGUUCUGGCAUCGAUGAAGAACGCAGCGAAAUGCGAUAAGUAGUGUGAAUUGCAGAAUUCAGUGAAUCAUCGAAUCUUUGAACGCACAUUGCACCUCUCGGUAUUCCGGGAGGUAUGCCUGUUCGAGCGUCAUUUGUACCCUCAAGCUCUGCUUGGUGUUGGGUGUUUGUUCCGCCUUUGCGUGUGAACUCGCCCUAAAACAAUUGGCAGCCGGCGUACUUGUUUCGGAGCGCAGCACAUUUUGCGUUCAGAUCAGUGUACACUGGCACCCAAGAAGCCUUAUUUUAACGCUCUGACCUCGNUCAGUAGG
rnacentral:rRNA from 1 species